rnacentral:pre_miRNA from 1 species
AGCAUGUACCAUGUACGAAUUUGGGUUGCAUUCUGACUAGGUAUCUCUUUCAAAUUAUACGUAAAUAUAUUUAAAAGAGAUACGUAUGUAUAUAAGAGGUUAGUGUGAAUUUAAUUUACUUAUGUUUAAUCUAGGUUAAUGUAAAUUUAAUUUACUUAUGAACAAUUUAGAUUAAUGUAAAUUCAAUUUACUUAUGUUCAAUUUAAGUUAAUGUAAAUUAAGUUAACAUAUGUAUAUAAGAGGUUAGUGUGAAUUCAGUUUACGUACGUUCAAUCUAGGUUAAUGUA